GAUGAACGCUGGCGGCGUGCCUAACACAUGCAAGUCGAGCGAAGCGUGGACGGGUGAGUAUCACGUGGAUAACCCCCUAUAUGACUGGGAUAACUUCGGGAAACCGGAGCUAAAUCCGAUACUUAUAGUUGGACCCGCGCUGCAUUAGCUAGUUGGUAAGGUAACGGCUUACCAAGGCAACGACGCAUAGCCGACCCGGGAGGUGGAUCGGCAACACUGGAACGGGAACACGCUCAAGCCUCCUACGGGAGGCAGCAGUGGGGAAUCUUCGGCAAUGGGGGAAAGCCUGCCGGAGCAACGCGGCGUGAGUGGUGAAGGUCUUCGGAUCGUAAAACCCUGUUAUUGGGGAAGCGGUACCGGAACAGAAAGCCACGGCUAACUACGUGCCAGCAGCCGCGGUAAUUC
rnacentral:rRNA from 1 species